UAUGCUAUGAGCUGAAUACAUGAAUCCAGUGCUUCCAAUGUUUCCGAAGUGAUUCAAAACUUUUGUAAAGUUCAGUACUGUUUGAAGUUAUUCUGUUGGCUGCUUUUUUUUCUGACAUGGUCCAGUACUUGCCAAAGUGAUCCUAAUCUUUUCUCAAGUUAUUCAGUACUUUCUGAAGGGAUUCUUAACUUUCCAAAGUGAUUCUAAACUUUCCUAAUGGAAUGUAAUGUCAGUAUAGACAGAUCUCGUUUUUGGAAACGUAACUACAGUGCACUCUCUACGACUCGAGGUACCUAUAGAAUUAUCGAGUUAUAGAAUAACAAUCUCAUACAAAUUCGCUAUCUCAGUAGCCAUGACACUCAUUUUUAUGAUGGUUAUAUAACUGUAUAUCAAGUAACUGGACAUCGAGUUGUGAAGAGUUGGCUGUUCUUCAUCUAUGUUGCCAAAGUCGAGAUCUUUUUCGAUGUGUCACAAUUGAGUAGCUUAGCGAUAAUAAUCAAUACUCCCUGAAGUAAAUCCUGCUGAGAAACUGUUGAAAAAUUCCUGGAAGUGAGGAGGAUCUCUCGGUUUUUGACGAUCAGCAGUUUUUACACAUUGCAGAUGCAUGCUCGUCCAACGCAUCGUUUUUUGCUUCUCUGAUAGGUGAUCUGGCAAUAACGGAGUAGCAACCGCGAGCGGAUUUUUUUUUUUUCUUUAUUUAAGAGGUUUUUAGCCUAAAGGCUGGUUCGCCUCUGAGAACCGCGAGCGGUUAAUCAUUCUCAUGCUCAAUUAUGUCUGUACUAUUUGAAGUGAUUCAGUACUUUCUGAAGUUUUUCUGCAGUAAUUCAGCACUUUUCAAACUGAUUCCGAGAUUUUCUAUCGUUUUUCAGUACUUUCAGAAGAGAUUUUGAACUUUUUUUUAAUGAUUCUGUGAUGCCCAAAGUUAUUCCGAUUUUUCUGAAGUGAAUAAAUAUUUUCUGAAGGGAUUCCAAACUUUUCUGAAGUUAUUACAAAAUGAUCUCAGCUCUUGAAGAAGUGAUUGCAAACUUGAGAGAAUUGAUAAAGUACUUUCCGAAGUUUUGUGAAGAUGUUCAGUUCUUUCCGGAUUUUUUUUUAGUUUUUACGAAAGCGAUUACAAACUUUCUGGCAAGAUUAAGUAUUAUCCAAAGGGAUUCAGAAAUUUUCUUAAGUCACUCAAUACUAUCCGAAGAAUUUCAAAGUUUUUUCUGAAGUGAUUAAUUAUCCAAGUAACAUUGUAAGUUUUAUUGAGGUUUUAAAGCACUCUACAAGUCUAAAUCAUGGUCUACAGUACCCUAAUAAAACCCAAAUUGUUACUUGGGACUUUCAGAAUUGAUUUCAAACUGUUCAAAAGUGAUUCAGUUCUUCCUGAAGCGAUUCAGUACUUUCGGAAGUGAUUACAAACUAUCUGGAAUUAUUCAGUACUUUUCGGAGCGAUUCCAAACAGUUCUGAAGUGAUUCAGUACUUUCUGAAAUCAUUUAGUGCUUUGCGAAGUGAUUAUGAACAUUCUGAAGCGAUUCAGUAUUUCCGACGUGAGACUGAACGUUUCUGAAAUGAUUCUGUGCAUUCCUAGCUAAUUUAAUCAUUUUCGAAGUUAUUCGGUUCUUGCGGAAAUGAUUACAAACUUUCUGGGAUGAUUCAGUACUUUCCAAUGUGAAUCCGAAAUUUUCUGAAGUGAUUCAAUACUAUCCCAAGAGAUUCCGAGCUUAAAGUGGUUCAACACUUUCCGAAGUGAUUCAGUGCUUUCUGAAAUAAUUCAGUACUUUCCGAAGUGAUCAUGAACUUUUCCAAAGUGAUUCCGAACAUUACUGAAGAUAUUCGGUGUUUUCCGAAGUGAUUCCGAACAUUUCUCAAGUGAUUCAAUUAUUUUCAAAGUGAACUUUUCGCAAUGAUUCAGUGCUUUCCAAAGUGAUUUCGAAUAUUUAUUAAGUGUUUUGGGUCUUUUCUGAAGUUAUUCAGUACUUUGUGAAAUGAUUCUCAACAUUUAUGAAGUGAUUCAAGAC